UACGAGUGGUGCAAGCGUUUAUUCGGAUUUUAUUGGGCGUAAAGGGCGCGUAGGCGGCGUUUUAAGUCGGGGGUGAAAGCCUGUGGCUCAACCACAGAAUGGCCUUCGAUACUGGGACGCUUUGAGUAUGGUAGAGGUUGGUGGAACUGCGAGUGUAGAGGUGAAAUUCGUAGAUAUUCGGAGGAACACCAGAAGCGAAGGCGGCCAACUGGCCCGAUACUGACGGCUGAGGCGCGAAAGCGUGGGGAGCAAAC
rnacentral:rRNA from 1 species